rnacentral:rRNA from 1 species
UACGAAGGGUGCGAGCGUUGUUCGGAAUUACUGGGCGUAAAGGGUUUGUAGGCUGAAAUGUAAGUCAAGUGUGAAAUCCCCGAGCUAAACUUGGGACGUGCAUUUGAAAACUGUGUUUCUUGAGUAUCGUAGAGGGUGGUGGAAUUGCAGGUGUAGGAGUGACAUCCGUAGAGAUCUGCAGGAACAUCGGAGGCGAAGGCGACCACCUGGGCCCGAUUACUGACGCUGGGGGAACGAAAAGCGUGGGGAGCAAACAGGG